GGGGACGUAGCUCAGCGGGAGAGCACCUGCUUUGCACGCAGGGGGUCGCCGGUUCGAAUCCGGUCGUCUCCA
rfam:Armatimonadetes bacterium RBG_19FT_COMBO_69_19 rbg_19ft_combo_scaffold_8548, whole genome shotgun sequence.